rnacentral:tRNA from 1 species
GUCCCCGUAGCUCAAUUGGAUAGAGCACUCGCCUUCUAAGCGAGUGGUUGUGAGUUCGAUUCUCGCCGGGGGCGCCA